rnacentral:rRNA from 1 species
GACUCGUCACACUAUCAUUAACUGAAUCCAUAGGUUAAUGAGGCGAACCGGGGGAACUGAAACAUCUAAGUACCCCGAGGAAAAGAAAUCAACCGAGAUUCCCCCAGUAGCGGCGAGCGAACGGGGAGGAGCCCAGAGCCUGAAUCAGCAUGUGUGUUAGUGGAAGCGUCUGGAAAGGCGCGCGAUACAGGGUGACAGCCCCGUACACAAAAGCGCAUGUGCUGUGAGCUCGAUGAGUAGGGCGGGACACGUGGUAUCCUGUCUGAAUAUGGGGGGACCAUCCUCCAAGGCUAAAUACUCCUGACUGACCGAUAGUGAACCAGUACCGUGAGGGAAAGGCGAAAAGAACCCCGGCGAGGGGAGUGAAAAAGAACCUGAAACCGUGUACGUACAAGCAGUGGGAGCACCCUUUGGGGUGUGACUGCGUACCUUUUGUAUAAUGGGUCAGCGACUUAUAUUCUGUAGCAAGGUUAACCGUAUAGGGGAGCCGUAGGGAAACCGAGUCUUAACCGGGCGUUAAGUUGCAGGGUAUAGACCCGAAACCCGGUGAUCUAGCCAUGGGCAGGUUGAAGGUUGGGUAACACUAACUGGAGGACCGAACCGACUAAUGUUGAAAAAUUAGCGGAUGACCUGUGGCUGGGGGUGAAAGGCCAAUCAAACCGGGAGAUAGCUGGUUCUCCCCGAAAGCUAUUUAGGUAGCGCCUCGUGAAUUCAUCUCCGGGGGUAGAGCACUGUUUCGGCUAGGGGGCCAUCCCGGCUUACCAACCCGAUGCAAACUGCGAAUACCGGAGAAUGUUAUCACGGGAGACACACGGCGGGUGCUAACGUCCGUCGUGAAGAGGGAAACAACCCAGACCGCCAGCUAAGGUCCCAAAGUCAUGGUUAAGUGGGAAACGAUGUGGGAAGGCCCAGACAGCCAGGAUGUUGGCUUAGAAGCAGCCAUCAUUUAAAGAAAGCGUAAUAGCUCACUGGUCGAGUCGGCCUGCGCGGAAGAUGUAACGGGGCUAAACCAUGCACCGAAGCUGCGGCAGCGAACGUAUCACCCAAGACAACUUUACGGAGUUGACGAUUGACGGAGCGAAGCGACGUCAAAGCGUUCAUUAAAGUCGAGUUGGCUUAGGGAUACGUUCGUUGGGUAGGGGAGCGUUCUGUAAGCCUGUGAAGGUGUGUCGUGAGGCAUGCUGGAGGUAUCAGAAGUGCGAAUGCUGACAUAAGUAACGAUAAAGCGGGUGAAAAGCCCGCUCGCCGGAAGACCAAGGGUUCCUGUCCAACGUUAAUCGGGGCAGGGUGAGUCGACCCCUAAGGCGAGGCCGAAAGGCGUAGUCGAUGGGAAACGGGUUAAUAUUCCCGUACUUGGUGUUACUGCGAAGGGGGGACGGAGAAGGCUAUGUUGGCCGGGCGACGGUUGUCCCGGUUUAAGCGUGUAGGUGUGUGUUCCAGGUAAAUCCGGUU